AUUGAACGCUAGCGGCAUGCUUUACACAUGCAAGUCGAACGGUAACAGGCUUUUCGGAGUGCUGACGAGUGGCGAACGGGUGAGUAACACAUCGGAACGUAUCCUGAAGAGGGGGAUAACCUAGCGAAAGUUAGGCUAAUACCGCAUAUUCUCUGAGGAGGAAAGCGGGGGACCGUAAGGCCUCGCGCUUUAGGGGCGGCCGAUGUCUGAUUAGCUAGUUGGUGGGGUAAAGGCCUACCAAGGCGACGAUCAGUAGCUGGUCUGAGAGGAUGAUCAGCCACACUGGGACUGAGACACGGCCCAGACUCCUACGGGAGGCAGCAGUGGGGAAUUUUGGACAAUGGGGGCAACCCUGAUCCAGCAAUGCCGCGUGAGUGAAGUAAGGCCUUUGGGUUGUAAAGCUCUUUCGGUCGGGAAGAAAUUGUCCUUGUGAAUAAUGGGGAUAGAUGACGGUACCGGCAUAAGAAGCACCGGCUAACUACGUGCCAGCAGCCGCGGUAAAG
rnacentral:rRNA from 1 species